GACGAACGCUGGCGGCGUGCUUAACACAUGCUAGUCGAGCGGAAAGGCCACUUCGGUGGUACUCGAGCAGCGAACGGGUGAGUAACACGUGAGUAAUCUGCCCUUCACUCUGGGAUAGCCACCGGAAACGGUGAUUAAUACCGGAUACGACAACUCCACGCAUGUGGUGGUGGUGGAAACUUUCUGGGUGGGGGAUGUGCUCGCGGCCUAUCAGCUUGUUGGUGGGGUAAUGGCCUACCAAGGCUUCGACGGGUAGCCGGCCUGAGAGGGUGACCGGCCACACUGGGACUGAGACACGGCCCAGACUCCUACGGGCGGCAGCAGUGGGGAAUAUUGGACAAUGGCGGAAGCCUGAUCCAGCAACGCCGCGUGAGGGAUGACGGCCUUCGGGUUGUAAACCUCUUUCAGCACCGACGAAGCGCAAGUGACGGUAGGUGCAGAAGAAGGACCGGCCAACUACGUGCCAGCCGCCGCAGUAA
rnacentral:rRNA from 1 species